rnacentral:lncRNA from 1 species
AUGAUAUCAAAACUCAAUUUAUCUUUGGUUUUUUUUUACAUAAAAGAAGUUUAAGGCCAGCGUGUUUCGUCUUUCCAAAUUCCGCCACUUAGACACUUAGUGACUUAGUCACUUAGUUACGUCGUAACUUAGUCACUUUGCAUUCCUUUGCAUAAUUUAUGUCAUUUGAAGUAUGUACCAGUAACUGUUAGCAACUUUGCCAUGGUUUACCCAUAGAGCUCGCUGUUUCGUUGGAGAAAACCAGUACCUGACUUCACAACAUUUAGGAUUUUUCAGUAGGACUUGCCCACCACAGCAUCCAACCAGUUUAUCGUGCCAAAAGGACUCUCCUAUGGACUUCAUCUUGAAUUCUUAAAUAGGAACUGUGGUGAAAGAUAAGUUUGUUUACUUUUAUUAUUUAUAUAUUUUGGGUACUCUAUAGUUGCUUGCACUGUAAACUGUUUGUAUGCAUACAAUCGAGUGGAACUAGGUACAUAUUUUCGUGACAGAUAGGGUUUUCAGGUCUUUGUUUUGUUCCAUAUUAUAAAUAGUAGUUUUUUCUAAUUAAGUAAGUCUUGUUUAAUAAUAAUCAUAAAUAAUUGUAGCUUAAAAUUUGAUAGGGAAUCGGGGGUAAAAUUUUGUCGAGCUUUUAAAAUAGGGAAUAUGUCUAGUGGGUUUUUACAUUGUAUAUUAAGAGUCUGACCAGCUCAUUUAUAUAAAACAAUUAUAUAAUAAUUAGUAUUUUUGCUAGAUGAGAUACUUAAUUUUUGGUAACCGUAGCGUUCUUGUCGUGUACGUAUCUCACUAGACGAGUUCAAUUUAGGAAAUAUUACUAACUUUUAGUUGUAAGAACUUUGUGCUAUUCACACGGACUUUUUGCUUUGGAUUUUCUACUAAUA